rnacentral:rRNA from 1 species
UACGGAGGGUGCGAGCGUUGUCCGGAAUCACUGGGCGUAAAGGGCGCGUAGGCGGCCUGAUAAGUAGGGGGUGAAAUCCUGCGGCUUAACCGCAGGGCUGCCUUCUAAACUGUCAGGCUUGAGCACAGUAGAGGCAGGUGGAAUUCCCGGCGUAGCGGUGGAAUGCGUAGAGAUCGGGAAGAACAUCAGUGGCGAAGGCGGCCUGCUGGGCUGUUGCUGACGCUGAGGCGCGACAGCUAGGGGAGCAAACGGG